GGGGAUGUAGCUCUGUGGUGGAGCACUUGCCUAGUAUGCAUGAGGCCCUGGAUUCAAUCCCAGUAUCACCA
rfam:Ictidomys tridecemlineatus contig036525, whole genome shotgun sequence.